CCGUAGCUCAGUUGGACAGAGCAGGAGCCUUCUAAGCUCUUGGCCGAGGGUUCGAUUCCUUCCGGGC
rnacentral:tRNA from 1 species